CGGGACGUAGCACAGCUUGGUAGUGCACUUGCUUCGGGAGCAAGGGGUCGCGUGUUCAAAUCACGUCGUCCCGACCA
rnacentral:tRNA from 2 species